CCGGUUGUGUCCGAUAGGGGCCAUCUCAUCCGGGAAGCUGGCGUUUUCACGGGAACGUCUCAUCCAUUCCUCAAAUAUGGCAUCGGUGAAUGCAUGAAGCACCUAUUUGGCCAAAGAUUGGGUCAUUGGCGGCGGAGUGGGACAGAGCGCUGGUCCCGUUGAGAAACACGUGAACCAGGUUGUGCAAAUUGGACACAGAGCUGUCCAGCUCACCGUCUGGCUUAUCGUAUCCUUCCAGUGCGUUCCUUCAAGGAAAGUGACUGAUCUGAACUGUGUGACGUCAAAGACAGCGGAUGG